rnacentral:tRNA from 1 species
UGGCUCAGUGGUAGAGUGCUUGCCUCGCAAGCAUGAGGCCCUGGGUUUGAUUCCUCAG